UACGGAGGGUGCGAGCGUUAUCCGGAUUCACUGGGUUUAAAGGGUGCGUAGGUGGGCAGGUAAGUCAGUGGUGAAAUCUCCGGGCUUAACCCGGAAACUGCCAUUGAUACUAUCAGGCUUGAAUACCGUGGAGGUAAGCGGAAUAUGUCAUGUAGCGGUGAAAUGCUUAGAUAUGACAUAGAACACCAAUUGCGAAGGCGGCUUACUGCCCGAAUAUUGACACUGAGGCACGAAAGCGUGGGGAUCAAACAGG
rnacentral:rRNA from 1 species